UACACAUGCAAGUCGAGUGCGCAGUCAUCUGUAGCAAUACAGGUGGCGGGCGCACGGCGCACGGGUGCGUAACACGUGGGCAAUCUGCCCUCUGAUGGGGAAUAACCCGCCGAAAGGCGGGCUAAUACCGCAUAACAUCUUUUGGCCUUCGGGCUGGGAGAUCAAAACCGCAAGGUGUCAGAGGAGGAGCCCGCGCCCGAUUAGCUUGUUGGCGGGGUAACGGCCCACCAAGGCUAUGAUCCGUAGCCGGUCUGAGAGGACAACCGGCCCCACUGGAACUGAAACACCGUCCAAACUCCUACUGGAGGCAGCAGUGGG
rnacentral:sRNA from 1 species